rnacentral:rRNA from 1 species
AUUGAACGCUGGCGGCAUGCCUUACACAUGCAAGUCGAACGGUAGCGCGGGGCAACCUGGCGACGAGUGGCGAACGGGUGAGUAAAGCAUCGGAACGUGCCCUGGAAUGGGGGAUAACGUAGCGAAAGUUACGCUAAUACCGCAUAUUCUGUGAGCAGGAAAGCAGGGGAUCGCAAGACCUUGCGCUCUGGGAGCGGCCGAUGUCGGAUUAGCUAGUUGGUGGGGUAAAGGCCUACCAAGGCGACGAUCCGUAGCGGGUCUGAGAGGAUGAUCCGCCACACUGGGACUGAGACACGGCCCAGACUCCUACGGGAGGCAGCAGUGGGGAAUUUUGGACAAUGGGCGAAAGCCUGAUCCAGCCAUGCCGCGUGAGUGAAGAAGGCCUCGGUUGUAAG